rnacentral:rRNA from 1 species
UACGUAGGGGGGCGAGCGUUGUCCGGAUUUAUUGGGCGUAAAGAGCGUGUAGGCGGCCAGGUAGGUCUGCUGUGAAAACUCGAGGCUCAACCUCGAGACGUCGGUGGAAACCAUCUGGCUAGAGUCCGGAAGAGGAGAGUGGAAUUCCUGGUGUAGCGGUGAAAUGCGCAGAUAUCGGGAAGAACACCUAUGGCGAAGGCAGCUCUCUGGGACGGUACUGACGCUGAGACGCGAAAGCGUGGGGAGCGAACAGG